rnacentral:rRNA from 1 species
UACGUAGGGUGCGAGCGUUGUCCGGAAUUAUUGGGCGUAAAGAGCUUGUAGGCGGUCUGUCGCGUCUGCUGUGAAAAUCCGGGGCUCAACCCCGGACUUGCAGUGGGUACGGGCAGACUAGAGGUGUGGUAGGGGAGACUGGAAUUCCUGGUGUAGCGGUGAAAUGCGCAGAUAUCAGGAGGGAACACCGGGUGGCGAAGGCGG